rnacentral:rRNA from 1 species
CGUGAGUGAAGAAGGCUUUCGGGUCGUAAAGCUCUGUCAAGUGGGAAAAAAAUCUCAUGAUGAAUAGUCAUGAGGCUUGAUGGUACCACCGGAGGAAGCACCGGCUAACUCCGUGCCAGCAGCCGCGGUAAUACGGAGGGUGCAAGCGUUGAUCGGAAUAAUUGGGCGUAAAGAGCGUGUAGGCGGUAUGGUAAGUCAGAUGUGAAAGCCCUGGGCUCAACCCAGGAAGUGCAUUUGAUACUGCCAUUCUUGAGUAUGGGAGAGGAGAGUGGAAUUCCUAGUGUAGAGGUGAAAUUCGUAGAUAUUAGGAGGAACACCCGUGGCGAAGGCGGCUCUCUGGACCAAUACUGACGCUGAGACGCGAAAGCGUGGGGAGCAAACAGGAUUAGAUACCCUGGUAGUCCACGCCAUAAACGAUGAGAACUAGGUGUAGCGGGUAUUGACCCCUGCUGUGCCGAAGUUAACGCAUUAA